UUUGGUUACAACAUAUAUGAGAAGGAAGUUUUUUGAAAAUUUUUUGGUUUGUACUUCCUUCUAGCUUGAUGCUUGACUCAGUCUGAAAGUACCUGUUGGGGAGUGAUGAGAACUGUGUAAUAAUUAAAAGUCUGAAAUUGUCCAAGGAGCUGGAUCAGAGAUGCCACAGAGCUGAAGAAUGUGGACAUUAUGGCAGACAACACUGAUGUUAAUGUGACAGAAAACAACAGACAGAGCAAAGACUAUCCUCAAAACUUCAAUGCUGAGAACAGAUCAGAUGACACUGAGGUACUUCAUUCUCCAAAAGCUGAAUGUGGUGCGUAUUACACUGCAAAAUAUAAUGGCAUGAUAUAAUUAACCGUAAUUAUAAGUUCAGAAUGUUGGUGUUCUUUGUGGUGACUGAAUAUCUCAAGUCCUUCAUCUAAGUAACAGAAUGAAUAUGAUGAAAAAGCUCAUUUUAAAACUUCAUAGUUUAUUUUGCAUUCAAUAAUUUGUAUUUUUGUCAUGCUAAUCUAAAUUAAAUUGUGCUUUAGGUGAAACAAAUUUAUUUUGCGAGUGUUAUUUUUAACACUUAAAUAAUAGUCAGUAGACAGCAGUUUCUGAACAAACCUCUUUCCUGUGUACUGGACAUUGUACAACCCCCAAGUCUUGAUUCAAAACAUAAGCUCAUACCAAAAUCAAACAUUUUUUUUCAUCAGUCCUGUUUCUUCUUUUCUAGUCAUUUCUGAAAAUGCGGUACCAACAACAGAAGACAGUACCUUAUAUGACAAUGAAGUAUUUCAUCCUCCAGGAUCUGAAUGCGUCACAUCGGUGCCAGUAACAGAUGCUAGUAUAUCAGAUGACUCAAGUUUUAAAUGUUGGUGUCCUGAGAUUUUCAGUCCAAACCAGAGACUGAUGACAUGCGGGGCAAGAUGGAGUGAGAGAACAGAUGAUGACGUGUUACCUGAAAGAAAGACCUCCAGAAGCUCUAUCAAUUCAACUGACUCAGGAUAUGCUUCAAGAAAAUGCACUGGCAUUUUCCCCAUCCCCGAAAUUGAUUAAUAGAAUAAACUAAAUAAUGGUGUUACUUCA
ensembl:lncRNA